CCUUCUGAUUGGCUGUUAUGGGUUACUGCUUCUGAGUAAAAUUACUGUCUUUUAUUAUAUAACCCUGUUUGGGGCAUCCACAGGGUGCGGAUCCUACACUAGAGUUCUUCACAUUUGUACAUAAACAUACAGAAUAUAAAACUUUGGGUCAGGCUUCUCCAUGUUCUUACAACUUACCAUAUUAUUAACAGGACCCACAGGAGUAACUACGAAGGAAGCAGACCCUGCAACUACAAGGGGGCCCAGGAGGUAUAGGGGCCCCAUAAGGCUCUAAUAAUUAUACAUUUUUAUUAAUAAUAAAACAGGUCAACCUCUAGACAUUCUGGGGGUCUAAAAAUUAAUUUGUUGUGGGGCCCAGAAAUAUCUAGUUACACAAAUGACAGGGCCCCAAUUAUUAUCCCUUUGGGCAAGCCUAUUAAAAGAUCCAAAUGCCUCCAGCCCAGCCUGACAAACACAACUGGCAUUCUGCUCAUGGGCAAGGCUGUGUUUAGGUCCAUAGCUAGACUAGGCACCGGCCUAAAUGUGCCCCCUAGUGGACGGAAGUGAUGUAACGCGUGUGCGUGACGUCAGCACCAGAUGUAACAAAACUUUGUGCCCCUAGGCACCCCUGGCUGCUUGCACCCUACCUGCCCCCCAAUCCCACACUUACACCCUGACUGCUUGCACCACCCUCCAAUCACUGCAUAAUGUCACAUAUUCCCUGCCAACGCUCCUGCCACAUGUUUCUAUGUGUUCUUCACUGGUGACUGGGAGUGGUGGGCGAUAUUGGGCUAAAUUGAUCCUUAGGGCAUAAGGGCCUAUAGACCAAGGACCACAUGAACGAGCCUAUGCAGUCCUUAAUGCAAUGGAAAAUCAAACCUGCCUGAUCGAGAUCUGGGCAAUUUUAGGUCAGAUAUUGGUUAGGCCUGUCGGGGGUGCCGAUAAAUGGGCAGAUAAGUUGCCGAAUUGAUCUGAAGGAUCCGAAUUGGCAGCUAAUCUGCCGGUGUAUGGCCAUCUAGGUGCUACUAAGCAGACAGUAUCACACAUGCUACUUUUUGCAUGAUAUCCUUAUCCUACUAUGAUUUGCUUUUUACUACCUAUUGAUAAGCUGUCGAGCAGUAACUUUUUAAAUAUGUUAUUAUAGGAUUUUAGAACAGUGAUCUUCCCAUUUUAGCUCAGAAUGUUGGUUAAUUUAUUGGGGGGUCACUCAACAGCUGAAGAUCUUCAUUUUUCCUGAAAAUCUCAUUUUACAUUGUAUUUAUUACAGGCAUAGCAAGUUCUGAAAGAUAAGAUGGCUGCGUGCAAGCCUGAUGUCAGCAAUGGAAAUCUGCUGAGGAAGAUAAAGGGAACAUGGCUCAGCACAAGCUUUAUCUGAGGACUUCGUCAUUCUUGUUUGGGAGGAUCGCUGCCUGCAAGGACAGUACAAAAAACAAUACAUUGGCCAGAUGAAUUGUGGGUUCUGGCAAAUGCCAGAGGGGCUGCUGUAAGAUGCCAUAGACAGUCACUAUUUAUUGGGCUGGUGGGGGGGCUGUUUGGGCCUCUGUGUAAUUGAAAUACCAGGGCCUAUUUUGAAUACCAGUCUGGACCUGCACUAGUGCUUCUGCCAAUACAAGUAGCAUAAAAAAACGGUAUCAGCAUCUGAUUCAGUUACGACUAUGGGCACAAGCCAUUAAAGCUUACCAUGGAGCAGGGCUUUCUAAAUAGAAAGGGGCGUAAUCCGUAGUGUUCAAGAUUGGCUUUACAACAAACUUUGGUCAGGUACAAAACCAGAUCCCAACUGGCAUAAUGGUAUGAGAAUGCUGAGAGUCUAUGCAAGUAGCCUUAUCCAUACAGUGGUUCUUAUAGGGAAGCAUCCCCAGGUUACCCAAACCCAUAGGAGCUAAGCAGAGCCCAUGUGAGGGGCAGAGGAUGAAGAAAGCAGAGUGAGAGCCUGGGGGACCCUGGUUUUGGGGGAGAGAUAGACAGUACAGCCCAUUUGUUUAUAGUUAACAUGUGCCCCCUUCCAGGGGCUCUUUAGCUGGGAGAGGUGUAUAUCUUCUUGCAUUUGGAGGAAGACUAGAACUAAAUCAUUUUCAUUCUAUGUCCAAGGGCUAGUAGGCAUCAUACACAGCAGUCAUUCAACAUGUUCCUUUCAUAAAUAUAUUUAACAAUUUCUCUUAGUAUUAUUAUUGUAUAAACAUCAGUAUCCUAAUGUGCUUUGCAAUACAUUUUAUUUGUUUUUAUUGUCACAUUUUUUCCUUUUUUAACUCACAGGUGUGGAAUUUGAACGGCUCUCUGGCUUAAUUAACCUAGCAGCCAUACAGCUAUUAGAAAGUAUAGGAGAGAGGGCCAGACAAAAUAAGAACAACAAUAAGGUUAAAGCCUUACCUUUUAUCGUUAUUUUGGCUUUUGGGAUCAGCGACCCCCUCAGUCACCUCCAUAUGUUUUCAGUUCCAGGUUUGAAAGAAGCAGAAUAAGAAGGCUAAUACAUCAAAACCCAUAAACGAUACAAAAUGAAGAGAAAUCCCUGAUCUGUGGAGAGACCAACAACCCCUGUCUCUGGAGAAAGAGUUUUAGAGGACUACUUCUUUCUGAUUUUUGGGAGCUACAGGGACUGCUACAUUGGGAGAGAACCCAUUGUUAACCUUUAUAGAGGUCACAGGGCCCACAAAAUGGAUUUCUGAUGGUGAAUCAAAGGACAUGACGCUGCAGAAAUGUUAUAUACCUGGCUAUAAAUGGGUAGCAUUUCCUCUUAUAUUCCCAGACAGGAAAUGCCCCAAAACACUGGCACAAUCAGAUUCUUCUUAUUUAGAUUUGUCAGCAUCUUGUGCUUCAUUACAUCUUGUGGUUAU